UACGUAGGGGGCAAGCGUUGUCCGGAAUUAUUGGGCGUAAAGAGCGCGUAGGCGGUCCGAUAAGUCGGCUGUGAAAGUCAGGGGCUCAACCCUUGAAAGCCGGCCGAUACUGUCGGACUAGAGUCCGGAAGAGGCGAGUGGAAUUCCCGGUGUAGCGGUGAAAUGCGCAGAUAUCGGGAGGAACACCAAUGGCGAAGGCAGCUCGCUGGGACGUAACUGACACUGAGGCGCGAAAGCGUGGGGAGCGAACAGG
rnacentral:rRNA from 1 species